GUGCAGCAGGCGAGAAAACUUCACACUGUGCGAAAGCACGAUGAGGGAAUCCCAAGUGCUUGCACGUAAGUGUAAGCUGUUUCUCUGUUUAAAACGCAGAGAGAGUAAGGGCUGGGUAAGACGGGUGCCAGCCGCCGCGGUAAUACCUGCAGCUCAAGUGGUGACCGUUAUUAUUGGGCCUAAAACGUCCGUAGCCGGUUUAAUAAAUGCCUGGGUAAAUCGUGUAGCUUAACUAUACGAAUUCCGGGUAGACUGUUAAACUCGAGACCGGGAGAAGUUAGAGGUACUCCUGGGGUAGAGGUGAAAUUCUGUAAUCCUAGGGGGACCACCAGUGGCGAAGGCGUCUAACUAGAACGGGUCUGACGGCGAGGGACGAAGCCCUGGGGCGCAAACGGGAUUAGAUACCCG
rnacentral:rRNA from 1 species